AAAUAUUCAAGAAUAAAUAAAAUAAAAGUUUAAUCCUAACAACACAAAACAUUCCAGGAAUGUAGGUACUACCGUUCUAUUCCGUGAACAUCUAUCUGAUUAAAUUAUGGGUGGAAAGUUACCACAAGAUAUAAAUGUCUUCCUGGAGGGGUAAAAUUUUCCAUUACAAGAUUUUAAGAGAGGCCAUUUACUGUUCAAUUUGCGUUCAUUUUCAAAUUUGCCGCGCGAAUAUCUAUGUAGCGUCGCGUGGUCAUUGGUCAUCACAUUUCAUAUAUUAUUUCAUUUUCGUUAUAACCGAUAACCUAAAAAUUUAGUAAAAAUUUUGAUUGGAAAAAAAUGCAUCGAUAAGGGGGUGUGGGAAAUGGAAGAAAUUAGUGGCUUUUUUGCUGUACUGUCUACUAGUUUUUGCUCUGGGCUCUGGCUGGAUCUCUUGUUUAAACAAUUUUAAUCAGCUGAAAGUGGUCUACAAAAAAAACCAAGAAGGAAAUGUAUAGCCUUGUGGCUAUGAAAGGCAAAAGAGAGAUAUAAAAAGUGUAUUGGCUAGUUGGAAGAAAGUCCACAUUGUCCAUGCAUAAUAAGUUAUUACUUUAUCAACAAAUAUCAAGAAGAUAGCAGGAAGUCACGAGCAACACGAGCAAUUGAACAACUUCAUAAGUUCAAGAAUAUCGAGGAAAUCCAGCUUCUCGAUACUACUGGGCAAACUAGAAGAUUGAAGAGGACAAAGCCUUUUGAACUAGUUUGAGUGAUAGGUGAUAGUGAAAAACGGAGCAUAGUGCUUGUGUGCUGUGCCUGUGUAUGUUAGAAUAGUGCACGAUCUUGUUAGAUUAGAUAAGAGACGCUAUGGGGUAAGCUCUUCAUUUUAAGAAACAGUAGUAAUUUAGGUUAAAUUAAAAUUGCUCAUUGGUCAGUUAUGACCAGAUUGUUUUUUUAUGUUUGGCAAAAAGGACUUAAGUCAGAAUUGCACAUUGAUAAUGUUUUGAUGAUUUCUGGACCAGAAAAAAACUGUUGUAGAUGUAAACUGUAUGUACAGUAGAAUCUACUACAGUACUGUAGAAAUCAUCAAAACAUUAUCAAUGUGCAAUUCUGACUUAAGCCCUUUUUCCCAAACAUCAGAGAAUUGUAAUGUACAAUAAUUCUCCUAUCUGCUUUUUCAUGAAUUUUGUAGGAGACGAAAAACCAUUUUUAGGAUCAUCUGCUUUCACAUGUAAAUUUUGACAUGUUUUGUAGUAAAUAGAUACUUAGUUGAAUUUACUACAAAAAAUGUCAAAAAAUAUAUGAAAACAGGAGGUGACUAUAAAAAAAGUUUUUAGUCUCUCUUACAAGACUCAUGAAAAAACAAAUCGGAGGUAUGUCACAUCUGUGACUAUAUCCAGGGAAUGUCUAAAAAAUAUACUUUGAUGUCCCAAGAACCAAAUAUAACCUACAGUCCAUCUAAUUUACUUACUGUUGCACGUCAUUAUCUACGCCAGAGAUCUAAGUUGACAUAGUUGCCAAAGUAUAAAAAGAUCCUGAACCCAUUUUAAAUAAAAUAUAUCACAUAAUUAUUGUAAACGUGGAUUAUACAACAAAACAAAUUAAUAUUCAAUGUAAAUAAGUAAAAACUUAAGAAAUAGAGAACAAGAAUUAAGUUAUAAUCUUUUAAGAUUUGCAGUGCAAGCGUUUUUGCACUACAUUGUUAAUAAUUAAAAAACGGCUCCGAACUCUUGGCAAAAAGCCGGUAGGUUUCUUUGUAUAAGUAUGUCUACAAUAACAACUAAAAAAGUUUAUAGUAGAGGAUCUUUUUAUAGUAAAGUAAAUAAUAAAGACAGUAAAUAUAAUAAAUAAAACAGAUACUUAUAGUAAAGAAUAUAAACAAAUAUGAAGUGUCAUCACCACAACUGGCAAAUAAAUGUUACCAAUUUAUUCUAAAAUGUCACCUUCGUUCGAUUACAGUUACAGUCGGAAAAAUGAAAGAAUACCCAUGAACGAACAUAUAAAACACGCUGUAUUUUCCUGUCACCGUAUCACAAUGAAAAUUGUCCAGUGCAAGUACAUGUAACAAUAAGUAUUGCAUGUACUUGCGCUGGCCAAUUUUUUGUGUGACACGGUGACAGGAAAAUACAGCGUGUUUUAUAUGUUCGUUCAUGGGUAUUCUUUCAUUUUUCCUACUGUACAGUGUGAUCCGAACAAAUCUGCUUCAUAAAAACGCUUUAUAAUCCAUUUAUACAAAUUAAAUGAAACAUAUUAUUGUGUAUUUCUUUAGGUUAACAUUAAUAGAAAUCUUCAAAUAUUAUUUCUACGCGUAUAUAAUAAAAUAUGUCUAGAGUGUGUAUUUCCAGUGUACUCAGCAAAGUGAUUCUAAAAAAGAACACACCUACCGCCUAAAUAUGUCGUGUUGGUAUCAUGAGACCUCACAGACUACGACGCGGAUGAUGCACAACAGUUAGUAAAUUAGACGAAGUAUGUAGAUAUAUACAGGGUGUAACAAAAAUACAGGUCAUAAAUUUAAUCACAUAUUCUGGGACCAAAAAUAGUUUGAUUGGACCUAACUUACCUUAGUACAAAUGUACACACAAGAAAAGUUGCAGCCCUUUGGCUGCAACUAUCUUACGAAAAAACUAUAGUAAAAUUUGGACACCCCAUAAAAAUUUUAUGGGGGUUUUGUUCCUUUAAACCCCCCCAAACUUUUGUGCACGUUUCAAUUUAAUUAUUAUUGUAGUACCAUUUAAACACAACGUUUUAAAAACUUUUUUGCCUCUUAUUGCUUUUUCGAAAAGUCAAUUUUUAUCGAAAUAUUUUGAAUAUUUGUCAAAUCCACCACAUAUUUGUAUAUGGUUAAGUACGAUUAUGGAGACUUGGUAAUAAUAUGCAGACUUAUUUAUGCUUUACAUUUUUAGGUAUAUUUUGAACCAUAUUAAAAAAGAAGCCAGAUCUCGAUAAAAUGUGCCUUAUCGAAAAAAUACAAAGAGGCAAAAAAGUUUUAAAAACAUUCUGUUUAACUAAUGGUACCUCAGUAAUAGUUUAAUUGGAACGUACACAAACAUUUGGGGGGUUUAAAGGAACAAAACCCCCAUAAAAUUUUUAUGUAGACAUGUUAAAAAAGAAGUCGCAACUCGAUAAAAACUUCCUUAUCUGAAAAAUACUAAGAAACAAAAAUAUUGAAUUUAACUAAUGGUAACUACCACAAUAAUAAAAUUGAAUUGGAACGUACACAAAAGUUUGGGAGGAUCUAAGGGAUCAAAACCCCCAUAAAAUUUUUAUGGGGUGCACAAAUUUCACCAUAAUUUUUGUUUAAGAUAUUCCUGCCAUAAUACUGCCACAUGUCCAUUUUCAAUAAAAAAUCGCUAAUAGUUUUCGAUAUAAUCGAAAAAAUCGAUUUUCAUUGUGUAAUUUCAAAGGGCUGUAACUUUUUUUAUGUGCAUAUUUGUACUAAGGUAAGUUAGGUUCAUUCGAACUAUUUUUGGUCCCAGAAUAUGUGAUUUAAUUUAUGACCUGUAUUUUUGUUACACCCUGUAUAUACAGCCGAUUACGCACCACCUUAAAAUUUGGGCAUUUUUGAUGUCUCGAAUUUCCUAAACCUGUUGUUGCAUCUAAGUGAUUUUUUUAUAAUAUUCUAGCCUAGGCCCUAGGCUAUAGGUUAAGUACCUCCUUAUGCUUGUCAUGCACGGGGAGCUAUACUGUAAUAUAUAUUAUAUCACAUCGCUCUCUAUAGUAAUGAGUGAGCCUGUACAUACGGAACCAUUUGUUUAAGGUUUAAUACCCCAUAUUUAAGGUGGUGCGUUAAUUUCUUGGAGAAGUGUAUUGUAAUUUAAUGUAAAUAAUGUAAUAUCCAAUAAUUGUAAUUUAAUAUAAGAUGUAAUAUAAGUUCCUUAAAAAAUAUAUUUUUUAUUUCCCACGACAUUAGAUGGAUGUUCGGCAGCAAGACAUUGGACCAAACUGGGACGUCCUAUGAAGGCCCAAUUGACGUCCACCGAACGUCCCUUCGGAUGUUAAGUGGACCUCCAUUGGACGUUUGGCAACGUGGCAUUUGGACCAAAAUUGGACGUCCUGUUAAUGUCCAAUUCACGUCCCCUAGGACGUCCGGUUAAGGUCCAAUUUACUUCCGAUUAAGGUCCAAUUUACGUCCGAUUAAGGUCCCAUUUACGUCCGAUUAAGGUCCAAUUUACGUCCUAUUAAGGUCCAAUUUACGUCCGGUUAAGGUCCAAUUUACGUCCGAAUAAGGUCCCAUUUACGUCCCAUUAAGGUCCAAUUUACGUCCUAUUAAGGUCCAAUUUACGUCCGAUUAAGGUCCAAUUUACGUCCGAUUAAGGUCCAAUUUAUGUCCUAUUAAGGUCCAAUUUACGUCUGAUUAAGGUCCAAUUUACGUCCGAUUAAGGUCCAAUUUACGUCCCCUAGGACGUCCGAUCAAGGUCCAAAUUACGUCCGAUUAAGGUCCAAUAUACGUCCCCUCGGACCUUAGAUGGACGUCCAAUGGACGUUCGGUAGCGCGACAUUUGGACCAAAAUAGGACGUAUAAAGGACGUUCCUCGGACGAAAACGGACGUCCAAUGGACGUCCCUAAAGUCCG
rnacentral:lncRNA from 1 species